GACAGAGGCCUCGAGCGUUAGGCGGAAUCACUGGGCUUAAAGCGUGUGUAGGCGGGCCCGUAAGUGUCUUGUGAAAUCCCACGGCUCAACCGUGGAACUGCUGGGCAUACUGCGGGUCUUGGGCCAACUAGGGGCAGCCGGAACAAGCGGUGGAGCGGUGAAAUGCGUAGAUAUUGUGAGGAACGCCGGAGGCGAAAGCGACGCACUGGACCUCUUCUAACGCUGAGGCGCGAAAGCCAGGGGAGCAAACAGG
rnacentral:rRNA from 1 species